rnacentral:rRNA from 1 species
GACGAACGCUGGCGGCGUGCUUAACACAUGCAAGUCGAACGGAAAGGCCCUGCUUUUGUGGGGUGCUCGAGUGGCGAACGGGUGAGUAACACGUGAGUAACCUGCCCUUGACUUUGGGAUAACUUCAGGAAACUGGGGCUAAUACCGGAUAGGAGCUCCUGCUGCAUGGUGGGGGUUGGAAAGUUUCGGCGGUUGGGGAUGGACUCGCGGCUUAUCAGCUUGUUGGUGGGGUAGUGGCUUACCAAGGCUUUGACGGGUAGCCGGCCUGAGAGGGUGACCGGCCACAUUGGGACUGAGAUACGGCCCAGACGCCUACGGGAGGCAGCAGUGGGGAAUAUUGCACAAUGGGCGGAAGCCUGAUGCAGCAACGCCGCGUGCGGGAUGACGGCCUUCGGGUUGUAAACCGCUUUCGCCUGUGACGAAGCGUGAGUGACGGUAAUGGGUAAAGAAGCACCGGCUAACCACGUG